GCGAAAGUUUGAUGAUCUGGUCACCCUAAUUCAAAAGUUAAGUUUCGCGCGCACUCGUAAGUUGUGCUUGUGCUGUAGCGCUCAAUCACUCAAUAUGUCCGUUUGUGUCCUCUCUGUGGUUUUUCGAUUUUCCUUUGUUCCAAAUAAAAUCACUUGUUACCUUAACGUCAACCACAACUGUUUGAAUUUGGUAAGCGCUAUUCAAAUCUUCAAAUUUGAAUUCUAAAUAAAGAACCAGAAUUGUUCUUUCAAACAAAACUAAUACGCUCGUUUUAUUUCCUUUCCUUUUUCCUUAUCCACAUCUGCAAAACGAGAGUAAAAUAUUUCGAAUUCCACGGAAUAGUUUUCUGUCCAAAACAGCAGUAUAACCAGCUUUCUACUCCACAGAAAUACCCAUAUUUGGUAAAUACAUUUGGUCCAUUCGAACCGGAUUUAACUGCCGUGCCAAAAUUGCCAAUCAUCCAUACUAUCCUCCUUAUCCAUUUUUUCCAUCAAAAUCAAGCUACCAUGCCCAAACACGUUUCCAACAACAAUAAACGCAGUCAUUCCAAUCCAGCUCCAUAUAAACGACAGUUUCUAUGCCCUCUCUGCCAGCGUCCUCAUGCGUUGCGUCGAUGCCACAAGUUCCUGGAUAUGAACAUGUCGGAACGCUUAGAUACUGUCCGUCAGCACAAAUACUGCGUGAAUUGCUUGGCAGUAGAUCACUCAAAUGGGUCGUGCUUCAGUGACAAGGGGUGUCGCCAUUGCAAGAAGUUUCACCACACUCUCCUUCACGUCAAUCCCAAAGUCCGCGAUCAGAUUUUACCACGACAUGCGCCCUCGGUUAGUUCCGGAGCCAGUUCUCGGUCCCCUUCACCGCAGCCGUCGACUUCUACGGCGGCUCGUCGCCAACCUGCGUCUGCACCGGCACCAGCGAAAAGGGGGUCCCUAACAUCUUUGAUCCAGCAGAAUCGGACCAUUUUGUUGCCUACCGUCCUGGUGAGGAUUGAUGCGAAGAAUGUGGCCAGGUGUCUCUUGGAUUCCGCUUCGCCGGUCAGCAGAGUUUCGAGAGCGUUUGUGGAGAAGAUGAAGUUAAACACGCUGACCCUGAGAGAGGAGACGGUAUGCCAACUGACAUUAUUUUCGAGGUUUGAUUCGAAGGUGAAGAUUGAGGGCACAUUCCGGGUUGACAAUCGGAUCACGACAAAGACGCCAGCUGAAUCGCUCCCGGAGGAGUUCAAAAGGAACUUCCCUCAUUUGUUCUUUGCAGACCCCACGUUUUAUAAAUCUGCAGGGGUCGACAUAGUGAUUGGAGUAGACCUAUAUCCGAAGGUCGUGUCUGAAGGGGUAUAUGCAAGGAGCGGGUUGCCAACGGCUCAGAGCACGGUGUUUGGCUGGGCGAUAUAUGGGCUAUGUUCAUAAUUGGGACAUCCCUAUUUUUUUUUUUCUAUUCUCUUUUCUAAACUCAAAUGAAUUACUAAUAAACAUGAACUGAAGAAUGCACUAUUGUUUUCCUUUUCCCCCAAAGCACAAACUUUAUCUUUCCAGAUGUCCCUCCUGAAGUUACAGAUGCGAGUUCGGAUUCCUUUCGGCGCUGAUGUUAGAUGUAAUCCUCCCGCUGUUUCAUCAUUAUAUUUCUUACUUACUAUAAUCUCAUAUCCAUUUCAUUCAUUACUUUACAUCGCUUGUAUUGUAAGCAGUGGGGACACACACGGGUUUUCCGUUUCAUUCUUUUAUUGCAGUGAUACUGCAAGGGGGCCGGUAAUGUUCAUGCGAAAGUUUGAUGAUCUGGUCACCCUAAUUCAAAAGUUAAGUUUCGCGCGCACUCGUAAGUUGUGCUUGUGCUGUAGCGCUCAAUCACUCAAUAUGUCCGUUUGUGUCCUCUCUGUGGUUUUUCGAUUUUCCUUUGUUCCAAAUAAAAUCACUUGUUACCUUAACGUCAA